rnacentral:rRNA from 1 species
CGGCGAGUGAAGCGGCAACAGCUCAAAUUUGAAAUCUGGCCCUUGGGUCCGAAUUGUAAUUUGUAGAGGAUGAUUUUGGUGCGGUAUCUUCCGAGUUCCUUGGAACAGGACGCCUUAGAGGGUGAGAGCCCCGUACGGUUGAAUGCCUAGCCUCUGUAAAUCUCCUUCGACGAGUCGAGUAGUUUGGGAAUGCUGCUCUAAAUGGGAGGUAAAUUUCUUCUAAAGCUAAAUACUGGCCAGAGACCGAUAGCGCACAAGUAGAGUGAUCGAAAGAUGAAAAGCACUUUGAAAAGAGGGUUAAAUAGCACGUGAAAUUGUUGAAAGGGAAGGAUUUAUGACCAGACUUUUUCUGGGCGGAUCAUCCGGUGUUCUCACCGGUGCACUUUGCCCAGUUUAGGCCAGCAUCGAUUUUUGGAGAGGGAUAAAAGCUUUAGGAAUGUGGCUCCUCCGGGAGUGUUAUAGCCUAUUGUAUAAUACCUUUCCGGGGAUCGAGGUACGCGCUUCUGCAAGGAUGCUGGCGUAAUGGUUAUCAAUCACCCGUCUUGAAACACGGACCAAGGAGUCGAACAUUUGUGCGAGUGUUUGGGUGUUAAACCCUCACGCGUAAUGAAAGUGAACGGAGGUGAGAGCCCUUACGGGUGCAUCAUCGACCGAUCCUGAAGUUUUCGGAUGGAUUUGAGUAAGAGCAUAACUGUUCGGACCCGAAAGAUGGUGAACUAUGCGUGGAUAGGGUGAAGCCAGAGGAAACUCUGGUGGAGCUUCGCAGCGGUUCUGACGUGCAAAUCGAUCGUCAAAUCUGCGCAUGGGGGGCGAAAGACUAAUCGAA